rnacentral:rRNA from 1 species
GAUCAUGGCUCAGGAUGAACGCUAGCUACAGGCUUAACACACGCAAGUCGAGGGGCAGCGGGAUUGAAGCUUGCUUCAAUUGCCGGCGACCGGCGCACGGGUGAGUAACGUGUAUCCAACCUUCCGUACACUCAGGGAUAGCCUUUCGAAAGAAAGAUUAAUACCUGAUGGUAUCUAAGCACACAUGUAAUUAAGUAAUUAAAAGUAUUUAGUCGGUUGUACGAGUGGGAUGUCGUUCAUUAGGUAGUAGGG